AUUGAACGCUGGCGGCAGGCCUAACACAUGCAAGUCGAGCGGAUGAAGGGAGCUUGCUCCUGGAUUCAGCGGCGGACGGGUGAGUAAUGCCUAGGAAUCUGCCUGGUAGUGGGGGAUAACGUCCGGAAACGGGCGCUAAUACCGCAUACGUCCUGAGGGAGAAAGUGGGGGAUCUUCGGACCUCACGCUAUCAGAUGAGCCUAGGUCGGAUUAGCUAGUUGGUGGGGUAAAGGCCUACCAAGGCGACGAUCCGUAACUGGUCUGAGAGGAUGAUCAGUCACACUGGAACUGAGACACGGUCCAGACUCCUACGGGAGGCAGCAGUGGGGAAUAUUGGACAAUGGGCGAAAGCCUGAGCCAGCCAUGCCGCGUGUGUGAAGAAGGUCUUCGGAUUGUAAAGCACUUUAAGUUGGGAGGAAGGGCAGUAAGUUAAUACCUUGCUGUUUUGACGUUACCAACAGAAUAAGCACCGGCUAACUUCGUG
rnacentral:rRNA from 1 species